GACGUAGGAUGCAAGCGUUGUCCGGAUUUAUUGGGCGUAAAGAGUUCGUAGGCGGUUCGUUAAGUCUGAUGUUAAAGACUGGGGCUCAACCCUGGGAGUGCAUUGGAUACUGGCGGACUGGAGUGCAGUAGAGGCAAGCGGAAUUCCCAGUGUAGCGGUGAAAUGCGUAGAUAUUGGGAAGAACACCGGUGGCGCAAGCGGCUUGCUGGGCUGUAACUGACGCUGAGGAACGAAAGCUAGGGGAGCGAAUGGG
rnacentral:rRNA from 1 species